UAUCUUUGCUCCCGCAUCGGUUCGGGCGGCGGUUGCGCCGUCUGACGAAGAGGGAACCGGGUGCAAUUCCCGGACAGUCCCGCUGCUGUGAGCUCCUUUGAUUGCAGACACUACGUUUCGGCCACUGGUUGGUUCUCUGAUUCAACUGGGAAGGCGUGUUUGCAGGAGUAAGUCAGAAGACCUGCCGUUGCUGUCACUGACAA
rnacentral:ncRNA from 2 species